CUUCGCUGGAGCCCUCCGCAUUCCCCAAAAUCCUAGCAACAAAGUGCUGUCUCUCAGCCUCCAAUGAAUCAUGUGAAUUUAACCUUUCACCUGGCCACAAGGAGGCUAAUAUACCAAAAUAGCCUCUUUUUUUUGUUUCAUUUCAUUUAUUGCCUUUGGGCUGGGGGAGGAGACUAUGCAGGGUGGAAACCAAAUGUAAGUGGGACAGCACGAAAAGUGAGCUUAGAAUUCAACCACAACUCCCUGCCUCGCUGAGCUGGCCUCUGCCAGGCAAAAGGGGCAGCCGGAGGAUCCGGAGCACCAGCUGAAGGGUUCAACAGAUACAAGUCUGGCGCCCGCUUGGUGGUGUGCAAUGUAUCCAGGAGCUGAGGAGAAACAGACGAUAUAAACUGCUGAGAUCUUGAAACCCGUGGAUGAUCCCAUAUUCCCCCUGCCAUUGGAGUUCGGCUGAGGGUUACCUGCGGAAAUUAACCUCGCUUGUAGGUCGCAUUAGGCACCUGAGAUCGACACCCUGUGAAAAAGACAGAGAAUUCACUCUAAACAGGUAGAAAGCUCGGAACACUGGUCCUGCUGCUCCAGUUCUCGCUUGUUUAAAAGGCAAGGGGCGCGCUGUUCUGCACACAAGCCUUUCUGUUUGAAGUGACUUGUGAUUCGGAGCGAAUGCCGGAUGAAUCUCGCUCCGCAUUGAAGGAUUUUCAGUUUCACUGGGCAGCUUGCGUGGAAUGAACCAGGAUCGAUCGGUAGGACACAUCACCUGAUUUGCGUUGUUUUCCCAUCCGCUCAGCAAUGGCUGAUGCUGGCUCUGUACCCUCAUUCCAAGGGCAUGUCUUAGAUUCAAAAGAAAGAUGGGGCUUGUAUGUUACUUGGUUUAUUGGGGGCAACUUGUCUAAUUAAAGGAGAAUCUCUU